CUUCGCCUGUCAUCGAAGGCCACAGCCCAGAAGCAUUCCUUGACAGCCAAGAUGUAGUGUGCCGGCUUUUCAUCGCCCAUGCUCUGAACAAAAUACAGGAUUUCAAGACUCGCCAAUGAAUCAAUCCUUGCAUCUGCUGCAGCUUCGCCUGCAACAAUAAAUGCAACAAUGGCCAACAUUCUUCAAUAAGGUCUUGCCAUCAUAUUGUCGUCCUCACCCCCUUCUCUCAGCGUGGAGUUCAAGGUCAGAAGGGUGUCUAUGAGAGCGAGCUCUAUAUAUUUGGGUAAUUAAAGUGUUUUUAUCUCUUUA